rnacentral:lncRNA from 1 species
GAUCGAGUGCAGGGCUGGCUUUCAAGGGUAAAAGCUGUGGAAAAUAAAGCUGAUGAUUUGAUGAGACACAGCUCUCAAGAGAUUGAGAAGUUAUGCCUUGGAGGCUUCUGUUCCAAGAACUGCAAAUGAAGCCACAGCCGUGGGAUAGAAGCUGCUACAAUGCUACGAGUUGUGGAGACUUUAAUGGGUGAAGGAUCAUUUGAAUUGGUGGCUGAGAGGGUGCCAGAAGAUGCAGCAGAGGAGAUAAAUUGUGAGUCAACAAUAAUGGGCAUGGUGUCGACUUUUGAGAAAGCCUGGAGAUGCCUUGAAGAAGAAUAAGUUGGAAUUAUUGGCCUAUAUGUCAAUGGGAGAGUUGGAAAUAUUUACUCAAAUCAACAAGAAGUUCCUUGAUAGUCCAAAUAAUUUUGAUGUUGCAAUCUGGGUAGUGGUCUGCCAAGAUUUGCAACCCCAGAAGUUUCGGGAAAAGAUUGGGAAAAAGAAAGGCUUGUUCGAUGAGUCAUGGAAGAACUGAAGUUUUGAAGAGAAAGCACUCGAUAUAUUCAAGAAUUUAAGCAAGAUGAAGUUUGUAUUACUGCUGGAUGAUAUAUGGGAGCAGGUUGAUUUAAUUAAAAUUGGUGUCCCUCUUCCAAGCACAAAAAUUACAUUCAAGAUAGUCUUCACAGCUCCUUCUAUUACAUUUGUGGCCUCAUGGAAGCUCACGACAAGAUUAAAGUGGAGUGUUUAAAUGACGAAGAAGCAUGGGAAUUAUUCUGCAAGAAGGUUGGAGAAGAUGUGGCGACUCUGUCCAAGUGCUAAGGAGCUCAGCCUCAGAAUUUCUAGGUACGGAAAAAUAAGUAUAUCCUCUUUUGAAAUUCAGUUAUGAUAAUUUACCUAGUGAUAAAAUUAGAUCGAGUCUGUUAUACUGUAGUUUGUUUCCAGAAGACUUUCCAAUUAGCAAAAUGGAAUUGAUACUGAGAUAUGAAAUCAAGGAUACUACAUUAUUGGUGUUCUUGUUCCUUUAUGUUUAUUGGAAGAAGAGGCUCCACUAUAUGUAAAAGUGCAUGAUGUGAUACGCGAUAUGCUUCUGUGGAUCGCAUGUGAAUUUUUUUUUUUUUUUUUGAUAGGGAUAGUAUGUGAAGUUGAGAAGGAGAAAGAGAAUUUUUUGGUUCGUGCAGGUGCAAGGAUUAACUGAAGUACCAGACAUUUGGAAAUGGGAAGGGUUGAGAAGGGUGUCUUUGAUGAGCAACAAAACUGAGAAGUUAUCAGAAAUUCCUUCAGAUCCCCAUCUACUGACUUUGUUGCUUCAACGUAAUUAUUUAGAGAUGAUCAAUAAUGACUUCUUCCAAUCUAUGCAUUCCCUUAGAGUUUUGAACUUAUCAUGUAAUCGUUCUCUAACUGAUAAUUUCAAAGUUAGUUUCCCUACAACAUCUUAAUUUAUCAAUGACUAACAUACGAGAGUUGCCGAUUGAGUUAAAGUUUGUAGUGAAUCUUAAGUUUUUGAAUGUGGAGUAUGCACGGUUUCUUCAUUCAAUUCCAGGGCAAGUGAUAUCCAGUUUUACGAUGUUACAAGUUUUGAAGAUGUUUGGUUGUGGCAGGUCAUCUUCUGAUCGUGAGCCACACCAGAAGAUAGCGUUUUAUUUGGAGGCAGUAAACUUUUGAUUGCGGAGUUGUUUGGUUUGAGAGACAUUUAGAUUUGUUGACCAUCAUCCUAAGAAGCUCCCAUGCUCUGAAAGAUUUUUGAGCUCCAACAAACUUCAAAGUUGUACUCAAUCUCUCUAUCCUAAAUGCUUUGAUUCGAAGUCAGUUGAUGUUUUUGGCCUGGCUGAUCUGAAGCAUCUCAAUAGGCUAUAGAUAUUGCGAGUUGUAAGCUUUUGGAAGAAGUGAAGAUUGACUUUGUUGGGAAAGCACAAUGAACCCAUGGUUUUCACAGCCUUAUGUCACAGAAGUUGUGUAAAUACUGCACGGGUUGCUGCCAUCCCAUGACAUUGAGCCAUGUUGAAAUAUCAUUUUGCUGUAAACUGAGGGAUCUGACAUAGCUUGCUUUUGCUCCAGGCCUUCUUGUUGUUUCCAGAAAACAUUGCCAUGAUAUAGAAGAAAUACUCGGUGUUGGAAAAUUAGGUAAAGAGAUGAUGUCAAACCUGGAACCUCCUACAAAACUCCAAGGUUACGUUUGUCAUGUGGGAUUGGAUUGAACUAAAUUAUUAAGAUUGAAUUAAAUUGAAUUAUAUUUAUAUUCUUAUGUUUAGUACCGGAUUGAACUAUAUUAGAUUAUAUUUAAAUAAUAUUAAAUAGUAUUUAAGUUGGUAUUUUAAUAUAAAUAUCAAUUAUCCAUGAAAUUUUAUAAUCAUAAUUAAAAUAAAUUUAAAAAGUAAUUACUAGGAAAAUUAAAUAUAUUGCAAAAAGUUAUUGGGUAGUCAUAAUAUAAUAAGCAAAUAAAAUUAAAUAAAACAAAUUAAAUAUUUAAUUAAUUUUUAUCAAAUAUUUAAAAAUAUUAUAUAAAAUCAAUUAAUUAAUGGUUUUAUUAAUUUUCAUGAUUAUUUUUAAUAUUACAUUAGUGAUUAUUAAAUUUAAUACAAUCAAAUAAUGCAAUAAAUAAUUAAACGUUUAAUUUUAUCGAUUAAUUAUUAAAUAUACAAGUAAUAAAAAUUUAAUCUCAGGAGUUGGUAGAAGCAAAAGUACUAAUUUAAUUACAUCAUAGAUAAUAAAUAAAAAUAAAUUCUAAGUAAAUCAUAAUAAAAAAAUUAAUUAAUUGAUUCAAUCAAUCAAUAUUAGGUGUAAAUAAAAAAAGAGUAAUGAUAUAGCCACAAACUCUUGCACAAACUUAUUUUGUACAAACUCAUGUGUCAUGAUAAGAUUAAUUAAAUUAAAUAUCACUUGACCUACAUGAUUUAUUUUUAUUAUUUUAUAUUUUCAUUCAACCAAUGAAUUAACGCCACGUCAGUUUGUAUAAGAUAGGUUUGUACAAGAGUUUGUGGCUGUAUCGUCGCUUAUAAAAAAAAAUAUAAAUAAAAAUAUCAUAAAUAGACAACUUUUAUCUUUAAUCUUAUUCCAACUAAACACAUGUGUAAAUUAGAAUUAUUAAUCCCAUGAUUUUAAGAUUAAAUUCAAAUUUAUUCCCCCUUAAUCCAAUCCAACUAAACUUGUCAAACAUGGGAUAAAAAUUUAAUUCUAAAAUUAGUACAAUUCCAUAUUUAAUCCUAACAUCCAAAUAUAGCCCAAGUUGUUUGCUUAAAGAAGCUACCAAAUUUGAAGAGCGUUUACGGGAAGGCCUUGCGUUUCCCAGAUGUAUGCAGAAUUUUUGUAUCUAAAUGCCCAGAACUUAAGAAGCUGACGCUGGAUUUGAAAGGGCGGGCCAAGGUAAAAUUCUUAUCAAGUGAAAGGAAAAUCGGUGGGAACAACUUCAAUGGGAGGAUCAAGCAACUCAGGAUGCAUUGCUUCUGUUUUUCAAAUCAACUGACAAGUGAUUGAAGGGGCCAUCAUCAGCCUGGAUGGGGAGAUCCUGGAGCAGAUCAGCAGGGUUUGAAUCUGCAUCAUCAACAUCAUCAGGAUCUCUAUUUCUAUUGCUGGUCGUAAUGCCUGCCUACUGUUGCUUGAAAAAGUGAUUAAGUGAGCCAGUUUUUUGUUUAUUAAAUUUUGUCUUGUGGAGACAGUCACAAAGUAUUUUUCAAUUAUGAUAUUCUGUGGGAAAUUGCAAGUAUUUUCAAAUAUGAUCGUUACUAAAGGAAACAAAGGAAUCAACACAGCAUACUGAACCUCAGCAGUAUGAAGCUAAUGAUUAAACUCCUCACACAAUUCAUGACAUGCAAAACCAUUCACAAAAUCAUCCACAGCAACCAUAAUUGGCGUUUACAAGAAUUACUUUUCUGUUCAUGCAAUCGGCGUCUGAACGCGGCUGAUCGGUCACCAGUGUUGGCGUUUACUGUGAUUAGACAAAUUGUAGGACUUCAAAAAUAACUUCUAUAGAGGUAAUUUCGAUUUCACAUAAUUAAUUUUAGGGAAAUUUACACUCGUCCACCUGUUUGUUUUGCCUUUUUCAAAAAUACACAAACACUUUUUUUUUUUUGCAGCGCGUCACCUGAAGUUUAUUUUUUGUUGCAUUCAUUCACUUCCGUCUAAUUUCCGUUAGUGGAUUUAACGGAAUGUUAACGAAAUGACCUUUUUACCCCUCAAAAUUAUAAUUUAACCCAAAAUAAAUGGAAAUUAGAGAUAAAUUAGGUGGAUUUAAUUUUUUUUAAAGGUGGAUACUAGAAAUUGGAGGAAAAUAGUGUUUGUUGCUUGCUAAAUUUAGAAAAUUUGUAUUUAUUUUUUUGAAAGACAAAAAAAUAAAUACACAAAAAAAAUAAAUACACAAAAAAUAAAUACAAAUUUUCUAAAUUUAGCAAGCAAUAAACACUAUUUUUCUCUAAAAAAAUAAAUAUAAAUUUUUUAAAUUUAGCGGGCAACAAAUAUUAUUUUCCUCCAAUUUCUAGCAUCCACCUUUGAAAAAAAUUAAAUCCAUCCAAUUUAUUUCUAAUUUCUAUUUAUUUUGGGUUAAAUUGUAAUUUUGAAGGGUAAAAAGGUCAUUCCGUUAAAUUCACUAAUGAAAAUUAAACGGAAGUGGACGAAUGCAACAAAAAGUAAACUUCAGGUGGCGCACUGAAAAAAAAAAGUGUUUGUGUAUUUUUAAAAAAGACAAAACAAACGGUGGACGGUUAUAAAUUUCCCUUAAUUUUAUUUACAAUAUUUUAUGCCUGCUAGGUCAAUUGAGAUUCUUUCCACCGGGCACACUCUUCAUGUUCUUUUAUUUUCUGUCUUUUAUUAGACGUUGGAUUUUACUACUCUUUUAUCCAACGGCUUGCCACAACAAGACAAAUGAGGUGGUACAUUCAUUUUAUGUCCUUUCAUGUUUUUGAAUUACUGAAGACAAGUGGCUCGUCGCUUUUACUGUAGGUAAGAUCCAAAUUAUCUCGAUUAUCAAAAUAAUUAUUUUAAAAUACCUUAAUUGUUUUUAUUUUUAUGUUGCCGGAAUCAGAAUGAGCUGAAAUCAGAAUGAGUAAGAAUAAAAAUUGACUGAAAUGUAAAUAAUGAAUGAGAAUUAAAAUAAAUUGUUUACUUAAACUAUAAGAAUCCAAAUCAAAAUGAUUGCCAUUAAUGUGUUUCCUUUGUCUUGAAAUCGGAAUCAUAAUGAAUUAAAUUGUAACAAAUUAUUAAAAAGUACUUAAUAAAUUAUUAUCAUAAUUAUUAUUAAUUAAUUGUAAAAUUUUUUAAUUAAUUAUAAUAAUUAUAAUGAUAUUCGGCCACCACGAGACCAUAACGAAGCCAGAAACACAUGCUUCUUCUGCCGUUUCGAAGUUUUAAAUUUAAAAAUUAAAAACACAAUUUUCCAUUGAAAAAUAUCAAAAUUAAAUCUAAAGAAUUUGAAAAAUCCAAAAUCCUUACCCGUCCCUCUCACUGUCCCUCUUAUUCGCUUAUUCUCUCUCUCUCUCUCUCACUCACCCGAUCUAGGGAUGGGCACGGUUCGGUUCGGUUCGAAAUUAAGUAGAACCGAUUUAAAUCGGUUAUUUUAUAAAAAGAACCGAACUCAAUAAGAACCGAACUCAAACGGUUCUUUUCGGAUCGGUUCGAUUUGGUUCGGUUUUUUCGGUUUUGGGCCUAUUUUGAAUUUUUAAAAUUUUAGUCCAUUGGGCCUCAUGAAUGUAAUAAUUUUUUUCAAUAAUUAAUUUAUCCUAAUUUUAUUACAAAUAUUAACAAUAAAUACAAAGUAUUCAAAACACAGUUUAUCACUAAUAUCUUACUAACUAUUAAUAAGAUACUCCCAAAUAUAUGAAAUAUUAAAAUUUCAAAAUACAUAACCAAACUCCAAUACUCCAUCUAUAUAAACAUAAUCAUAAUGUUAUAAAGAGAAAUAACACAUGUUUGAUUUGAAUAAAAUCAAAAAAUAAUUUGGUUUUUCGGUUCGGUUUUUCGGUUCAGCUAAGUGAAUCGAAUACCGAACCGACAUUUCGGUUUUUUUUACAAACGGUAUAUUCGGUUUUUUUUAAAAAUAAAAAUCGAACCGAAUUAGAAAAAACCGUCGGUUCGGUUCGGUUUUUUUAAGACUACGGUUUUUUUGCCCACCCCUAACCCGAUCUGCCUCUUUUACUCACCCACUAGCAGGCUGUCACUCACCCACAAAACUUGUCACGCCACGGCCAUUGUUGACCAGCCAUCAUCGCUGUCACGCCACGCCCAUUGCCGACCAGCCCAUCACUGAUCACAUCGCCGUUGACGGUGUGCUUGACGAUUUUGGACCUUUUUCACCUACGUAGGUAAUUAAAUUUAGCAUGUUGAGGAAAGUUUUGAUUUAUUGUAUUUAUAUUUUAAAAUUAUUAGAAAUAAGUUAUUGGAAAUGUAGAUUUUGUUUGAAUUAUAUAUGAUUAAUACAAUUUAUUUUUCAUGGUAUAAAAAUGAAGGAUUUGGAAAAAAAACUACAAAGUCGAAGAUUUUGAAGAAUUAGAUUAACAACAAUUUAAAUGGAAAUAAUGAAAAAACUGAUAAUGAUGUGGAUGUGAAACCAAAAAAGUAUGAGCCAAAGUUUGGGAUGUUGUUUGAUAAACACCAUUAUCUUCUUAUGAGCCAAAAAAGGAAGAAUUAGAUGACAACAAUUAAGGUAAGAUUAAACUACUUACUUAAUUAUUCUACAAUUAAUUUAAUUUUAAUUUUAAUGUAUCUUUUUAUGGAUUUGCAGGAUUCAAAUGUACAAACACCAUUAUCUUCUGAGGUGGAUAUUGUAGUCCCAACGCAUGAGAGCAAUAAGGAUCCUGUAAGUUUUAUGUUCUUUGAUGUAAUACUAUUUAAUUAUUUUAAUUUUUAAUGGUCACUAAAUAAUGGUCAUUAUUUAAGAACCUGUGAUCGCAUACCAAUUACAAGGAUGUGAUAUUUAUCCAUGGUUUCCUUUUGAUUCUUACAUUGUAAGUUAUAAUCCAAUUUCUAUAUUUAUGCCUAGUUAAUUUUGCAUUUUCUGGAAUGUAAUAUGGUUCUUAUUUUGUACAAACUAGCAAUCCCCAUCACUCCCAUCUAUGUUGCCUUAUUCUUCAUCUUGGAUAUCGUAUAAAGGUUCUCAACAAAGGAGUUUUCAGUAAUCGCUACUUCAACAGAAUGAUAAUAACAAAGAAGUUUGAAGCAGACUUAACAGAUUGAUCAUUGACUUAUUCUUUUGUUGUGUUUUGUGUAUUAGUUGGUUGGAUGAUAUUACUCUAGUGCUCAAUGAUUGAACGUGGAAAUAUUUUGAAGGGUUUUUAUCCAUAUAUUCAAAGGGUUAAGUGUGUCAAUAACCAUUACAACAAUAAGAGUAGUUCAUAUAGAAAUGUCAAAUUAACCACACACAAAAGAAAAAGGUACAAAUAACUUAUUUCUAGUAAUUUUAAAAUAUAAAUACAAAAAAAAACCAAAUACUUUUCUAAUCAAAGUAUCACAUACAAGGUUUCGUAAAGGCCGUGUCAAAAGAAUUUCUUUAACUGAUUAAAUAUACUAAUUUUAGGUGACAAUAAUCUAAUAAUUUUAAACUAAAUUAACUUAAUUUCGCGAAAAAAAAUUCAAAAAACGCAUAGAAUUACGGAUCAAGUCUAAUUAACAAUCAAACGUAGUAACUCAGAUGCAUUUAUGCCAAAAAGAAUGUUCAUAAGACUACACAAAACCACCCAAAAAAAAUUAUAAAAUAAUAAAAGCAGCAGCUGCAAUAGAUUUUGCCUGAACAAGAAACACAACAAAACAAAGAGAAUAAAUCAAUCAAGGGCAUAAAUAGAUUGAACAAAAAAGGGCAAGAUCAGAGAAGAAACUGACCCACGACACUGGAUCCUCCUAAGCCUAGCGUCAUGGUUGCGGUUUUGAUGAUGCGUUAGCUGAGGUCUGACCAAAAUAUUGACAGUGACCUUGUGGGUGAGUGAGAGGUGAACGAGCUUCGUGGGUGAGAGUGAGAGCCGAGAGGGACAGAGCGGGUGAGAGAGAGAGAGGGUGAGUGAGGGGAGCGAUAAGAAUUUAGAUUUUUUUAGUUUGUUUUGAUUAGCUUUUAUUAUUUUUUAAUGGUAAAAUUUGUUUUUAAUUCUCAAAUCUAAAAUUUCAAAACGGCACAUACGCGUGUCGUUUCUGGCUUCCCUCUGUAACGAGGGCGGCCGAAUAUCAUUUUUUAAAUCAUUAUUUUAAAAUGGGUCUACAUUGCAACAGUAGUACGAUCCCAUUAUUAUUUUCAGUCAUUAAAUUUUAUUAAUAUAAUUAUAUAAUUAUAAAUUUAAUAAUUAAAAACAACAAUAAUAAUAUACUGUUGCAAUAUAAUUUUGACCUUUAAAAUGCCUUAAUUGUUUUUACUUUUAAUGUUACCGGCCUUUCUUAUAUUUUAUUAUAAAUUAAUACUAACAAGAAAAAGCUAGAUCAUUUUCCACAAAAAUAAAAGUGACAAAACAAUCAGCUAGAUUCUUUUAUUAAACUAUAAAUUAAAACGGAUUUUUUUUUAAUAAACUACAUAUGAAAGUGGAAUCUUUUGAAUAUAAGUGAGUAGGCUCUCUUUUUUUAAAAAAAAAAAACGGGGUAGGUUCUUUUAAUAAAGACAAGUCAUAAGUAUUAAGUAGUCACGACCAUUAGACUCUUUUAUUAGGACCUGUCUAUGGUACAGAUUCUGUAACAAACAUCUCCCGUCAUACCACCAUCCGAUCUUCUAUUGUUUAGUUUCUCACUUCACAUCCAACGGCUGAUGCUGCAGUCUGUAGCUUACAGAUUCUGUAAGCUAGUCAAGUCCCUUUUAUUAAAUUACAAAUUGUAGGAGGUUGCUACGUUACAGAAUCUGUAACAUACACAUUCAAUGGGAAGCAGCACACGUGUCCUGAAGAGAGAGAAAAAUCGGGCAAAUGCAGGCAAUGGCGGGUAAUGGGAGUUGGCUAAAAGUUGGAUAUGCAAAUUUACAAAAGAGUACUGCUAUUUACUCCGAAUGCUAACUCUGAAUUUACGCCCCGAGAGAUAAAACGACGUCGUUUUUUUUUUUUGCUUUGUAAUUUCAGCCAAAAAAGGUGGGCAGCACGUGGGUGAGCAUAUGCUUCAAUUAAUUUGGAACCAAAACGACGUCGUCUGUUCCUGCUUAAUCCUUCGUUUUGCUUUUCUUUCCAACCACAACGCUCGGCACCCAAAACUUCCACAAACUGCAAACUGCAAAACAUUUCCAUAUGCUAGCUCUUUAUGCAUGUGACCAAACACAACUUUCAUGUGUCUGUCUGCUUGUGUAUAUAGGAUGGAAACUUAUAUGGGUUUCUCCAAUCACCUGAAUGAUUGUAUUCUCAAAUGUUGCUUGUGGAUUCAUGGGAUUUGCUGUUCCAAAUGAUUAUGUUGAAGUCUUGACACUGAUUUGGGAAGGCUGUUGGUUUUAAUUUUGUUAACUAUUAGAGAUGUAGUACUUCUUGCAUGUCUAUUUCUUUUUCUUUUUUUGUCUUCCCUCUAAUUUAAUCAAUUUUAAAUGCACUAGAUGCCACAUGCUUUGUCUGCAUAUUUGUCUCUGGGCAUAGUCUGAAGAUGCUUUUGCCAACACAGAGCUGAUUUAGGGAAUGCCCAUGGAGCACUUGUAAGUGCCUGCUUUUCCAUAAAUCACAAAAUUUUAACAUGUCAAAACUUAAUGAUUCGUGAAAGUUGAAUGCUGAAUUUGAACGCCAACUUGUACAUGGGCUUUGGCAUACAGCAGCCAACAACGGUUCCUCAACGUAAGCACUUGUUUGAAACGCGUUUUUAUUUGCAGGCGCAAGAACUAUUGCUGCUGUUUGCAAAACAAAAAGUGAUUGCAAAACAAAAAGUAAAACGAAAGGAAAAGGUGUUUCGAUUGUAGUUCGUCAAAAUGAGUCCAAAAGAAAAGAAAAAAUGCGUCGAAACGGUGCGUUUCCUUUUAAUUUCAAAACGGCACGUUUCAUUCGGGGUGUUAGUCGAGGCGCAAGUCGGGACAAGCAGCUUCUUCCUUUAUAAAAUCUGUAACUUAAGUCAGCUCCCAAAUUGUAUAGUCUUUUUUCAAAUUGUACAGACAUUUAUAAAUUGGUGGCCCCUUGGAAAUUUAAUGCCAAGCAGACAAAAGUCAUCAUGCACAAUCCUCAAUAAUUAUUUCGCGUAUAUUUAUAAAUUGGUGGCCCCUACGUCCUCAAUAAUUGUUCAGAUACUUAUAAAUUGGCGGCCCUUGAUAAUUUAACAGCAGCUUGCAAGUGCCAACUAGUGAAAAGUCAUCAUUCACAAUCUUCCAAAUGAACCAAGGGACAUACAAAGAUUAAGACAUGUCAUUCUUUUUUCAUUCCCUUUCAUGUAACUUACAUCUAAAUACAUAAAUAAUAUAAAAUGAAUGGAGAGAUGCCGGAGCAUAUCAGCAGGGUUUGAAUAUGACCUUUGGCGCUUGUCUUUUUUUGUGAUUUUUUUUUUCAUUUUUUCCUUCCUGUCAUUUUAUCAUUUCUUUGGCUUUGUCUCUAUUGCGGGCGUUACUGCAUGCUUACUGUUGCUUGACAAAGUUUGCUAGCUUUUCCUUUUGUUUAUUAAAUUUUUUUAUCGUCGCAAAGUAUUACUCGUUCUAUUUGACAGUGAUGUGAAUCAAUUUUUCAAUUUUAUAUUUUAUCGUCAAUGUGAAUUCAAUUUCAUUUGUCAUCAUGCAUAAUCCUCAAUAAUUGUUUCGAUAUUUAUAAAUUGGUGGCCCCUGCGUCCUCAAUAAUUGUUCCGAUACUUAUAAAUUGGUGGCCCCUUAAUAAUUUAACAGCAGCCUGCAAGUGCCGACUAGUGAAAAGUCAUCAUUCACAAUUUUCCAAAUGAACCAGGGGAUAUACAAAUAUUAAGACAUGUCAUUCUUUCUUUUUUUUUGAGUGAAACAGAAAUUUACAAGAAUUACUUUUCUGUUCAAGAAAUCGGCGUCUAAACGCGGCUGAUCGGCCACCGGUGUUGGCGUUUACUGUGAUUAGACAAAUUGUAGGAAUUCAAAAAUAACUUCUAUAGGGGUAAUUUCGAUUUCACAUAAUUAAUUUUAUUUACAAUAUUUUAUUCCUGCUAGGUCAAUUGAGAUUCUUUCCACCGAAAACACCCCUCAUGUUCUUUUAUUUCCUGUCUUUUAUUAGCCGUUGGAUUUUACUACUCUUAUAUCCAACGGCUUGCCACAACAAGACAAAUGAGGUGGUACCUUCCAACCGGUGAAAGGUAGUUUUGGCCCCAAGUGGAACAAGGGAUGCACUUACUAUUAAGGACAGUUGGCGGCCAGCCAAUGCAUUCAUUUUAUGUCCGUUCAUCUUUUCAAUUGUUAAAGACAAGUGGCUCAUCGCUUUUACUACAGGUAAAAUUCAGAUAAUCUCUAUUAUGAAAUAAUAAUAUUCAAAAUAUCUCAUAAAUUAUUAUAAACCUCAAAUUUAUCUUAAUUUUAUUUAAAAAAUAAAAGAAAAAUAGGUUAUGUUGGUGAAUUUUUUUUAAUCUUUUUAAUAAAAAUAAAAUAAAUUGAUGUUUUAUAAUAGUUUAAAGUACUUUAAAGAUUGUAAUUUUAUGAGAGAGUAAUAUUUCACUUUUUUAGUGUAAAAAGUUGAAAAAGGACAAAGCAAGUUUCUCUGAUUUUUAUUUUAUUUGAAAUUAGUCAUCUCAUAUACUUCACCCUUCAACACUACAAUUUUUUUGGUUAUUUUUUUAUUUUUUUAUUUUUUACAUAUGCACGUGAAUUUCUUUUCUUUAAGCUCCUGAAUAUUUAAGACAAAUCAUAGAAGAGAUGAAAGUAUAAUAAGAUGAUCAAAAUACGUAACAAAAAUUUUUAGAAGUGAAACAUACGUUAGAGUUGAAGCAAAACUCCAAAAAUAGAGAUACUGAUUAAUUUAGAAGAGAUGCGAGCAAAAGAUAUUCCCAAACAAAAAAGGGCAACUUGUCCCUUUGGAGGGCAAACUUGUCAGUUUGAAAAAAGUACAUGCUUUGGAUUGAUAGUUGCUGGAUAUUUGUUUUGUCACUGUGUAUUAGUUGAAGAAGUCAAGCCUAGUCAAGAAUGUUGUGAAAGAGCAAAGGAUAUUCCCGAUAGAGCUCUAUUUCAUUAUGUAUCCAGUGAAUAGAUGUGUUGUUGGAAGAUAAGUGAGUGCAUUAGUUCAUUUGUGUCUAUCAAUUUGCUUUUAAUGAUUUUUCCACUUGUUUUGUUGUAAAAGAUUAUUGUAAAAUUAAAUGAAUUUGAUGUUGUAAUAUUUUGUCUUUAGUGGAAUUUCACUUGGUAUGUGUUCAAUUGUGUUGUCUAUAAUUUUGCAUUCAAAUAAGUUUCCACCUAAAAUAUUAGCACGAGUAGUAGCCCUUGAAACUUUAGUCAAAAUUAUUGUUAUAAUUUCUUAUUAGGGGUAAACUUUUUAUUAAACCUCGUUAACAUAAUUCUUAAUUAAUUGUGUGUUUACAUGGAAUAGGGAAUGAGAAUGGAGGAAUGAGAAUGAAACUCAUGUUUACUUGGUAAAAUGUAAUUUGGGAAUGAGAAUAAAAUGUGUGGGUUUUACAUAAUUUGGGAAUAAGGAAUGAGAAUCUCAUUCCCAUGAAGGAUUGAGAAUGAAAUAUAUGUUUACUUUUGUAUCCCUAUACUUUUUUUAUAUUUCCCAAAUUACCCUCAUUCAAAUCACAAUUAAUUUAUUAUUUUAAAUGUCAUUAAUAAUAAUAAUAAUAAUAAUAAUAAUAAUAAUAAUAAUAAUAAUAGUAAUUUUUAAAUUUUAUUAACUUUAUUAUCUUUGUGAUGUUGAACCAUAUACAUAUAUAUAGAGAAAAGUAAAAGCUAUACCUAAGGUUGAGGGAAAAGACUUCAAAACUCUCUUUUGAUUAUAAAACCUUUUGUCUUAAUUAACUUAAAGAUUUUGAAUCUAAUAUUUUAUAAUAAAUAAAAAUAUAUUCCUAAAAUAAAUAUAAUAAUAUCUAUUUUAAAAUAAUAUCAAUAUUUAAAAUAUGUUUUAAUAUUUUAUGCUCUAUCAGACAUAUUUUAUUAUAUUAAAGUAAAUUUAAUAAUAAAUACAAACAUAAUGAAUUUAUAAAACAUUUAAAGUAUUUUGAAUAUUAUAUAAAAUAAUUUUAAUAUAAUGCAUGAGAUAUAUUUUAUUAAUUUAAAAUGCUAUUUAACCUAAGAUUUAUUUAAGAUAAAUUAAUAAUUAAAUUUUUUAAAAUUAUUUCAAAUAUUAAAAAUUUGUAAUAUUAUUAGUCUAUUAGAUAGAUUAAAUUAUUUAUAUUAUUUUGUAUCUAUUAAAAAAUUUUAAAGUCAAUCUUUUUAAUUACUAUUGGAAGGAUAUAAUGAUUAAAAAAAUCUUAGUAUUUUUUUAUUAAAAAUUUAAAAAUUUACAUGACAAUUUCUAUAAAUAUUUAGGUCUCGUUUGGUAUGUCGGAUUGGAUUGAAUUGGAUCUGAUCGGAUUAGAUAAGAUAGGAUUUGAUUGGAUAAUACUGGAUUAUAUAUAAUAUUAUGUUGUGUUUGUUAUGCCAUGAGAUUAGCUAGUAACUAAUAAUAUGUCUUAUAUAUUAAUUUAUUAAAAUCAUCGUAGAUUUUGAAAUACUAACUAGGCAAUCCAAGAGGGGGGGUGAAUUGAGAUUUUAAAAAUUAAGCUAAGCAAACCACACACAAAUUCAAUCUAAUGCCUUAAUAAAUUCGAAAACAAUAAAUUCAAUGAAAGCACAAUAAUAAAUGAGCAAUGGAAGAGAAAGCAAACUCAAGGAUUUUUACAUGGUUCGGUAAUCCCCGCCUACGUCCACGCCUCCAAGCUCACCGGACUUGAGGAUUUCACUAAGCUAGCCUCCCAAGGCUUCAAACGCUUACAAUUGACUUCCAAGGUGUCAAUGAACCUUUACAACAAGAGAUUAUCCCCAAUCUCUUAACCCAAGUGUAUCCCAACACUUACAAUCACUCAAAGUAAAAGAUUACAAAUUGUUUUGCCUCUCACAAUAUAUAAGAUUACACAAUGAUGCUUAUAUAUAUGAAUAGAUGAAGCAAGAAUGUGUUCUAAUUAAGCUCUAUGAAGAUUGUAUUCUCGAAUAUUAGCUCAAUGGUCGUGUUGUGAUCAACCUUCUUUGAUUUUGAAUGAGCUUAUUUAUAUCUGGAGCUGAAAAACUAGCCGUUACAAACUGUCGGUCCGAAAACGGUUCGCCGUUAAUCAUUAACGGUUAACCGUUUAGGCUGGUCAAAAGUUACCGUUGGGCCAAAUUUCAAAUAAACGGUUUGCCGUUUAGGCUUACCCUUUCGUCGUUAAAUUUCAGAGACCUACAAAACAAAUUUAAUUUAACCGUUCUUACUAAACGGUUCAAGGUUAGCAAUCUGGAAAUAACCGGUUAACCGUUUUCAGUAAACGGUUCACCGUUAUUUUCCAAAAUCAUCAUUUUAACAAUACUUUGCAGAACAUGCUUUCUGUAAAUUAUCGGUUAGCCGUUUUAAAUAAACGGUUAGCCGUUUUAUACAGUGAUUGCUACAGUAAAAUUAUUUUUUAAAUUUAUAGUUUGACCUCAAAAUUUUAUAAAACUGUAUUACGGCCCAAAACGUUAUGAAACUUUGCACAUAUGUCCAAUUUCAGAAUUUUUAAAUAAUUCUUUGUCAAUCCCAAAACUUUUUGAAAUUAUGAUUUCACCCAAACUAUGUGAAAUUAUAGAAUGACCCAAAAUAUUUAAAUAGUUUCAAAUAUGUCCAAAUCUGAAAUUUUAAAACAAUAUCAAAGGUUUUAAAAUACUUUCAUUUUAGUUCAAAAUACUUUAAUUCCUUAACAUAAUUUUCUUAUUAUAUAUGAAACCUUUAUACUGUGAAAAGAAUGAUUUAUUUAAAAUAUAAAAAAAUAAUUUGAGCUUAAAAGAUUUAUCAUUCUUAAUCUUGUUUGUUGUCAUCAAAAUCAACAUUAUGAAAACAUAUAUGUUAACAGAUUUACUUUAAAAUGACAUAUAAUAUAAUAUAACUUAAAUCAAUAAUUAUUGGUAAAUUUAUUAAAAAAAUACAAAAUCUUUGCUUAAUUUUUUUUUAAUAUUUAACAUGUUAUAGUUUCUAAUCCCAUGAAUAGUAAAAGAUAAAGUUUUAUCUUAGAAAAUGUAAUCUCAAGGGUCCCAUUGGGAUGAAAUUUUGCCUCUAUUGAAAUUAAGUGGUGGGCCUAUUAUUGUUACCUUUAUUUUUUUUACACCAAACAUAAUAUAAGGAUUAUUUUACACUAAAAUUAUCGAAUCCCAUAAUAUAUAACUAAAACCAAACAGGCACUUAGGGUAUAUAUGAGCCACGGUGGAGAAGCUUUAUUUAAUAUUAUUGAUUUAAAUAAUAUCUCAUUAAAAAUGUACUGAGAAGAAAUUUCGGUGGGUAUUUUAGUCUUUUCAGCAAUCACAUGAUCAGCCUUUGGCCUUGAAACUUCGGUCGGAAUGAUUUAUUCUAACAAGAAAAAACUAGGUAACAUUCCACAAAAGCAAAAGUGACAAAACAACCAGCUGGAUUCUUUUAGUAAACUACAAAUUAAAAUAGAUUUUUUCGAUAAACUACAAAUUAAAGUGGAUUCUUUUGAAUGCAAGUGGGACAGACGAUUAGGCUAAAAAUUAGUCAAGAAUCUAAUAGUCUUUUUCAAAUUCUUGUUUUAUUAUUUUUCAAAACCAGUUUUUGGUAAUUACAAUCGGGUCAUUAAUCAUUAUUCAGAGUUAUUGUUUCCUUCAAAAGUUAGUGGCUCAUGUUUGCAAGUGUGAAUGUGCGAUGCUUUUUUUCCAAAGCGCAAUGACAGUGGGUCCCGAAUCGGACGUGCCUGAAUCUUUUCAAAAUUUUAGGGAAUUAUCAUUUGUAUACCUUUAAUUUAUUUCAUUAUCAAAAAUACUACAAUACUUUAAGGGUGUAUCAAUCGUCCACCCUAAGUUGACAAAAUAUAUCAGCUGACCACUAAAUCGUUAGUUGUCGUUUAAGUAUGAUGACGUCAGAAGGAUAAUUUAGUCUUUUUAUAUAAUACAAGUGAUAAUUUAAGAGUAUAUAAGUGAUAAUUUUUAAGGGUAAAAUUAUCAAUUCACUGUAACUCUGUUAACUUUCAAACGGCAACUAACGGUUUGGUGGUCGGCUGAUACAUUUUGUCAAUUAAGGGUGGACGAUUGAUACACCCUUAAAAUAUUAUAGUAUUUUUAAUAACAGAACAAAUAUAAGGUAUAUGAAUGAUAAUUUUCCUAAAAUUUUUGCCGUAUAAGGAACAGAGGUCAUUACUAAAAUUUCUCUUCCACAGCCUACAGCAGCUUCAGUUUAUCAAACUCAAUCAAUUUUCUUUCUUAACAAAAUUCCAAAGAUGUGUAGCAUUUUUCAGAUCACAUGCGACGGUGCUCUUUUCAAUCGUUGCUUGGAUUGCUUUCUUGGAAAAGCAGCAUACAUACGUAACCUCCAAGAUAAUCUUGUAGCCUUGGAGACUGAAUUGGGAAAUCUAAUCGCAAUAAAGAACGAUCUGAUGAGGAGGGUUGACGAUGAUGAACGACAACAAAUGAGAAGGCUGGACGGAUUGCAAGUGUGGGUUUCGAGGGUGGAUGCUGUUAAAACUGGAGCCGAUGAACUUAUCACAGACGGCUCUGAAGAAAUUGGCAAAUUAUGUGUUGGAGGCUACUGUUCCAAGAACUGCAGGUCAAGCUACAAGUUCGGAAAACAAGUGGCUAAAAAGCUACAAGAUGUGAAGACUUUAAUCGCCGAGGGAGUUUUUGAGGCGGUGGCUACUGAGGUGGUGGCUGAGAGAGCUCCGGAACCUGUAGCAGAUAAAAGACCCAUUGAGCCAACAAUAGUAGGCUUGCAAUCACAGCUUGAACAAGUUUGGAGAUGUCUUGUAGAAGAAUCAGUGGGAAUCAUUGGCCUAUAUGGUAUGGGUGGUGUUGGUAAAACCACACUAUUGACCCAUAUCAACAACAAAUUUCUUGAGAGUCAAAACAACUUUGAUUGUGUGAUUUGGGUCGUAGUUUCAAAAGACCUGCGACUUGAAAAAAUUCAAGAAGAUAUUGGGAAGAAGAUAGGUCUAUCUGAUGAUUCAUGGAAGAAUAAAAGUUUUGAAGAGAAAGCUGUGGACAUCCUGCGGAGAUUAGGAGAGAAGAGAUUUGUAUUGUUGUUAGAUGAUUUAUGGGAGCGGGUUGAUUUAACAAAAGUGGGCGUUCCACUUCCCAGCGCACAAAAUACUACCUCAAAAGUCGUAUUCACAACCCGUUCCAUUGGUGUUUGUGGCAGCAUGAGAGCUAGGCCGGUUAAAGUGGCAUGCCUAUCAGAAAAGCAAGCUUGGGAACUGUUCCGCGAAAAUGUUGGGGAAGAAACUAUUGAGAGUGAUCAUGAGAUCGUUGAGCUAGCCCAAACUGUGGCCAAAGAGUGUGGUGGUUUGCCACUCGCACUUAUUACUAUUGGUCGAGCUAUGGCCUACAGAAAGAAAGCGGAGCAUUGGAGACGUGCAAUUGAAGAGUUAAGAAGAUCAGCUUCAGAGUUUGCAGGUUUGGGAAAAGAGGUGUAUCCUCUUUUAAAGUUUAGCUAUGAUAGUUUGCAGAAUGAGACAAUUAGAUCUUGUUUCUUGUAUUGUUGUUUAUAUCCUGAAGAUUAUGGCAUUCUUAAAUGGGACUUGAUUGAUUGUUGGAUUGGUGAGGGAUUUUUAGGGGAAUCUGACAGGUUUGGUGCAGAAAACCAAGGAUAUGACAUUUUGGACACACUUGUUCGUGCAUGUUUAUUAGAAGAGGUGGAAGAUGAUGAAGUAAAAAUGCAUGACGUUGUUCGUGAUAUGGCUCUAUGGAUAACUUGUGAAAUUGAGAAGGAGAAGAGAAACUUUUUGGUUUGUGCAGGUGAGGGACUAAAGGAGGCACCGGAUGUUAAAAGAUGGGAAAAUGUGAGAAGAUUGUCACUGAUGCAAAACCAAAUUGAAACUUUGUCAGAGGUUCCUACAUGCCCUCAUCUCCUCACUUUAUUUCUUGACUUCAAUGAAAAUUUGAAUAUGAUCGCGGAUGGCUUCUUCCAACUUAUGCCUUCUCUCAAAGUUUUGAAGAUGUCAAACUGCGUGAAUUUAACUUUGAAAUUACCUUUGGGGAUGUCAAAGUUAGGUUCACUAGAACUUCUUGAUGUUUCGCAUACUGGCAUAAGAGAGUUACCAGAAGAGUUAAAGUUGUUGGUAAAUCUGAAAUGUUUGACUUUGAGGUGGACAUUUGAGUUAAAUAAAAUUCCACGGCAACUAAUAUCAAAUUCUUCAAGGUUACGUGUGUUGAGAAUGUUGGGUACUGGCCUUUUGAAUUUUCAUCAAGCGUCAGAAGACAGCGUUUUAUUUGGUGGGGGUGAAGUUUUGAUACAGGAAUUGCUCGGUUUGAAAUAUUUAGAGGUAUUGGAGUUGACCUUGGGAAGUUAUCAUGCUCUCCAAAUUCUUUUGAGCUCAAAUAAGUUAAAAAGUUGUAUUCGAUCUCUUUUCCUCCAGUUGGCCGGAGAUGCAACGUCGAUUGUUGAUGCUACGGCUUUCACAGAUCUAAACCACCUCAAUGAAUUAUAUAUUAAUAAAGGUUUUGAGUUGGAAGAAUUGAAGAUUGAUUAUACGGAGAUAGUACGAAAAAGGCGGGAACCUUUUGUUUUCCGCAGCCUUCACCAUGUUACUAUAUGGCGGUGCGCUAAAUUGAAAGAUUCGACAUUCCUCGUUUUUGCUCCAAACCUCAAGUCUCUUGUGCUACGUAAUUGCCAUGCUAUGGAAGAAAUAAUCAGCGUUGGAAAAUUUUCCGAGGUUCCUGAGAUGAUGCGACAUAUGAGCCCUUUUGAAAAUCUCCAAAGGCUUCAUGUAGAAGAUUUGCCAGAUUUGAAGAGCAUCCACUGGAAGCCAUUGCCUUUCACUCAUCUGAAAGAAAUGGGGGUAAGAGCAUGUGAUCAGCUUGAAAAGCUUCCACUCGAUUCCAGCAGUGCAAAAGAGCAUAAAUUUGUUAUUCGUGGAGAAGCAGACUGGUGGAACCGACUUCAAUGGGAGGAUGAAGCCACUCAAAUUGCUUUUCGUUCCUGUUUCCAACCUUAUUCCUGAGCCGUGGUCGCAAAAUUUGAUUUCUGGUGAGUGCGUUUUUGUUAACGCUUAUGUUUUAUUCCAGUGUAUUUUUCUUCUGUCUUCUGCAAAUCACAAUUAAAUGUGUGAUACAUGUUACGGGUAAUAUACAUGCAGUAUUUUUGGUACACUGCAAAUCACAAUUAAAUGUGUGAUACAUGUUACGGGAAAUUUAUAUACAUGCAGUAUUUUUGGUGGGGUCGAAUUGAUGCUCUGGUUUUCGACUACUUUUUGCUGUCAAAAUUUUCUCUGUUUUUUCAAAUUGAUGCUUUAUUUAUAUCUUCUUCGUGAAAAGUGAUUUAAUUUCCUGCCAAAAGACGAACGAGAAGAACAUUAGAGUCAAACUAAUGCUCACAUAAAUUUCCCGUAAGAAUAUAUAUAUAAUUAGACUGGAAUAGUAGCACUCUUUACAGAAAAUGACGCGAAAGUUAAUUUAGAAAGAUAUAUUCUUGAUUAAUCCAUUUUCUGAAGCUUUUAUUUUGUAUGGUCAAUUAUACCUUCAUACUAAAAAUUUCUGAAGUUAUAAAUUAGUGCAACUUGACAAUUUUUACUGAUGAUAUCUUCUAUUUUUCCUUUCUUUUUUUUUUUACUCUCAUUGAAUGUUACUGUCAUUUUACUUACAAAUAGGUUUGAAUUUUAUUUAGUUUUCUCAUAGUAUUUGUGCAAGUACUAGAAGGUCAAACCCCGCAUACUUUGAUUGCCAAACCACCGUCCAAUUUAAAAAAAGAAAAAAAGAAAAAAAAUGUGUAAUCCAUGAAUCUGGUUAAUUUUGUUUGUUUGUUUUUUUUUUUUAAAUAUCAUUCUUUUUCGGCCACCCAAAAUAUCAUUGAUGACUUUUCUGGUCUAAUGCUAUGUAAAUAGUAUGUUAAGUAAAACAUAAUCAAUUAUUUGUGUUUUAUCUCUAAUUAGAACAUCAAUCAGUUCAGUACCUCACAAAUAAUUCGCAAUAUCUACAAAAUACUAUAAUGGCUACAAAACAAAUCCUGCUUGCAAAUUGUCAAGGAUACCUAUCCGUUCGCUUGACAAGUCAUUUGAAUAAAUAUUGUUCACAUUCCUUACUCUGUCAAUUAUCCAAAGCACCAUCAACUUUAGUUUGAAUAGUAUACAUGCCAUCACCAUUACCAAGAAUCAAGCAUGGAAUUGGAAGUCAUUCUAUAGAGUGCAGAACAUGACUGUACGGUAUAUAUAGCCCGGUGACUUUAUUGUUUUGUUAAAUUUUUUGUUUAAUAUUCUAAAUCUUUGUUUACAAAUUUUAAGUGUUAAUUCUUCGGAAAGCUGACCUCGAAGAAAGGCGUUAUUGAUAUCCAAUUGACGAAAAGGCCGGCCAUGACUAACAUCAAUACUAAGAACAAGUAUAGCCCGGUGACUUUAUUCUUUCUUGUAGUCUUUGCAUCACCACCUCAUUACACGCCAAGCCAAUAUUCCAUUUACCUCUACAACAAAAAGUUUUUAAGUAAACAAUCCUAAUGCACGCAGCCAAAUAAAAUGCAGUAAGAAUAUUCAACUUAAAAAUCUGAAAGCCAACUUGGUGAAUUGCCUCCUUAGGUGAAGUUCCAUGCUUUACUAUAGUUGACACAACUCAGCAAAAGCUUCCAUACAACAGAUUUCGAAAAUGAUGAUGCCAAUAGAUACUCAUUCAAUCCAUUGAAACUCCAAAGGUUCAUUGUUCAUAGAAGUUUACAGAGUUUUGGUCAUCAAAUAGCUCAGACCUAAUCCCAAACAAAAAACGAGUGAAAAUUAGAUCACGAGCAGCUAAUUGUAAAUUCUAACUUAACUCUUCAUCUCCUUUGUAAACAAGAAACAAAAUGGAGACACGCAAAAUGAAUAUGGAGAAAAUUUGAACUCAAAUGAAAUGAGGCACGAAAGCAAACAAAUGGCAUGCACAAAAAAACCAAGCCUCGAUAAAAAACUAAUUAACCAUUAAGAAAAAAAUUGGUCAGAGAAUGAACUCCAAAUUCAGGAGUCAAGCAAGAAGCUUUCAUUAUUUCAGAAGCUCCUGUACAAAUUAAUAAGUUAUGCUCUUUGGAUGCAAACCUAAAUUCCAAGAGAAACAGAACCCAAAAAAUUUGCAAUUAUACGCAAAGGAAGUGAAGCACAGGAUUCUAUCACACAUAGGAAUUGUAUAACAAGAGAUCGAUAUAUCGAAUUAGAAAACUCAAUUCGAAUUUGUGUCAAAAAUCAAAAUUAGAAGAUUUCACAUUUCGAGAGGAACAAGCAACAGAUGAAGUUGAAAAUUUUCAGCCAUAACAUGCUAAAAAUGCUACACUUAACGGUUCAUUUUCAUGGAUUUUCUCGGGAAACAAACAGAAAAUUACGGUUUAGAGAGUUGAAUGACCUUUUGGCUUUUGAAAUUGAGAAGAUCGCGCGCCAAAUUGGAAGAGGGAAAGUGAGAGUGCGAGUUUUAAUAUCAUUGUUUUAUUAUCGAUAAUUAUUAAAUGUUUUUCCAAAAAAAAGAACAAGCAAGGAUAUUUUAUUGUCAUUUGCAACCUUUAAUUUUUUAAAUGCUAUUAGAAACACAAGACAACAAAGAAAUACUUAUUUUUUUUCUAAAACUAAAAUCAAUUCUUUAACUUCUUAUUUCAUAAUCCAACUCCAUUACUAAGUUAAAAAAAAUUGUUUAAAAAUUACUUGAGUCAUAUCCAAUGGACCAACAAAGUAAUCGUUUUUAUUUUUAUUGAUUUUUGCAGGAAAUUAAUAAGUUAAAAAUACUGAAAGCUAUUGUAAAAAAUUAAAUUUCCCUGAUACUGAAAGCUAUCGAUAAUUAUUAAAUUUUAUUUUUAUUGAUUUUCGCUGAUUUUAAAUUUCGUUGUUUGUGAUGGAAAUUUUUUUGAAAAAAUUAAUGUGUUCGAUGAAUGUCAAAAUCUCAAAAACUUUUUGUUUUUCAUUUUUUUGGAAAAAACCACCGAGGUCCUUACUAUUUUUCUUAUAUCAUCUUGCUUAAUAAUUUGCAAAGUCUAUCACAUAGCACCCAUGCAUGAUGUAUGCUGGUUGUAAUUUACAAUAUUGUACAUGAAUAAAUCCAGCUAAAAUUUGUUAAAAGAAAAUAAUAAUAACAUAUUAAAACUUUAAAAUUUGAUUAUUCGAAGAAAUUUUAAUUUAGUUAAGUAGGUGACAUGAUAAUAAAUAGAUACGUAUAAUGUCCGAGAUUUUUUAUAAGAUUAAUAAAUAUAAUAAAUUUGGAUUAGUUCAAUUUUGACAUAAUUCAGAAUAAACACAUCUUGCUAAUCUAAAUUGCCACCGUUACUCAUCAUCAGGUACCUGUUUGAAAAAUAAUUACAAACAACUUAAUUUGUGUUGUUUCUCUAAAAGUUUGAGACACAAAUGUUAUUUCAAAUUGAAACGCCAUGCACUAGUAGUAGGUAAGAGAAACCAAGGUUGAAGUUACUGUUCAUUUAUUUUUAUUUAUGAUUUUUUGUAAAAUGUAAGAAAUAUGUAGAAAUGUUGCCAACAAUGAUUUUGGAACUUUGCAUAAAAUUUUUAUCAUUAUUGUUUUUGGUAUUAAGAAAUCCGAGGCGGUGAUUAGUCGUAUGUUGCAACAAUUAAGAAAUUUCUUAUUGGAGAUAAUUUGGUAGGUUGCAACAAUUAGAGAAUAAUUUUCCGGUCAGUUAAUCAAUCAAUAAUAAAUUUCAAAUUGCAGAAAAUAAAAUAAUACUGUCGCACUUAGAAUCAUCUUUUCUAUCUCUUUCAAUUGUGACAAUCAUUUGUAACUAAUAAAUCAAUUCAAAGUUCAAGUCACUGCUCAAUUGCAGAGUAGUUAGUAGACAUGCAUGCAUGUUUAAUUAAGUACUGCAUUGUAGUAUCGAAAAUCAUAACAUCUCACCAAGCCCGGAAGCAUAGCUCUUUAUCUUGUAAAUGUUGAAAUCUUAUGCAACCUAUGGGAAACAUGAUCUCACUCUCAGUGUCACUUGAUUCCAUUUUCUGUUCUUGCCUUGAUUUCAUUGUUGGGAAUGUGACGUCUGAGUCUAAGGUUGAAGAUAAUCUCGAUGCCUUGCGGACUGCAUUGGAAAAAUAAGCGGAAACGAGAAAUGAUGUGAUAAAUUGUGAGCCAACAAUAGUGGGCAUGGUGUCGACUUUUGAGAAAGCCUGGAGAUGCCUUGAAGAAGAAUCAGUUGGAAUUAUUGGCCUGUAUGUUAAUGGGGGAGUUGGAAAAUAUUUACUCAAAUCAACAACAAGUUCCUUGAUAGUCCAAAUAAUUUUGAUGUUGCGAUCUGGGUAGUGGUCUGCCAAGAUUUACAACCCCAGAAGUUUCGGGAAAAGAUUGGGAAAAAGAAAGGCUUGUUCGAUGAGUCAUGGAAGAACUGAAGUUUUGAAGAGAAAGCACUCGACAUAUUCAAGAAUUUAAGCAAGAU